CUUCAUUUUGUAGAUAAUCAAUGUUGACAAUGUUCAAGAAGCUGCAAGGGAGACAGAUGGGUACUUCAUCAAAGGUGGAAUCGUUACUGUGAUCAAGGAUGCUUUGCUCCCAAGCGGAACAGUUAUAUGAAGUAGAUGUGCAACAUCCACCCGAGGGUCAUCGACAAUCAUCAGCACCCAGUUGCUUGAUCUGCUGACCAUGUCUUGGAGACCAUGGAAACAAUAAACGAACUGCCAUUCAAGGCACUGUUUCUUUGUUUUUUUUCUCAUUGUUCUUUUGUCAUCUUUAAUAUUCUAGGAUAUAAUGUUGUAGCCGCACAUGUUCUGCAUAUGUUGGGAUCGAAAUUGCAUGCCUGGAUUUGGGAUACCUCUUUGAUGUUGUGUAAUUAUUAGUUUAAUUAUCAUGCUUUGCUGCCA